GACGAACGCUGGCGGCGUGCUUAACACAUGCAAGUCGAACGGAAAGGCCCUGCUUUUGUGGGGUGCUCGAGUGGCGAACGGGUGAGUAACACGUGAGUAACCUGCCCUUGACUUUGGGAUAACUUCAGGAAACUGGGGCUAAUACCGGAUAGGAGCUCCUGCUGCAUGGUGGGGGUUGGAUAGUUUCGGCGGUUGGGGAUGGACUCGCGGCUUAUCAGCUUGUUGGUGGGGUAGUGGCUUACCAAGGCUUUGACGGGUAGCCGGCCUGAGAGGGUGACCGGCCACAUUAGGACUGAGAUACGGCCCAGACUCGUACGGGAGGCAGCAGUGGAGAAGAUUGCACAAUGGGAGGGAGGCUGACGCAGCAACGCAGCGUGCGGGAUGACGGGCUGCGGGUUGUAAACCGAUUUCGCCUGUGACGAGGCGUGAGUGACGGUAAUGGGUAAAGAAGCACCGGCUAACUACGUG
rnacentral:rRNA from 1 species